GAGUUUGAUCAUGGCUCAGAUUGAACGCUGGCGGCAGGCCUAACACAUGCAAGUCGAGCGGUAACAUUUCUAGCUUGCUAGAAGAUGACGAGCGGCGGACGGGUGAGUAAUGCUUGGGAACAUGCCUUUAGGUGGGGGACAACAGUUGGAAACGACUGCUAAUACCGCAUAAUGUCUACGGACCAAAGGGGGCUUCGGCUCUCGCCUUUAGAUUGGCCCAAGUGGGAUUAGCUAGUUGGUGAGGUAACGGCUCACCAAGGCGACGAUCCCUAGCUGGUUUGAGAGGAUGAUCAGCCACACUGGAACUGAGACACGGUCCAGACUCCUACGGGAGGCAGCAGUGGGGAAUAUUGCACAAUGGGCGCAAGCCUGAUGCAGCCAUGCCGCGUGUGUGAAGAAGGCCUUCGGGUUGUAAAGCACUUUCAGUAAGGAGGAAAGGUUAGUAGUUAAUACCUGCUAGCUGUGACGUUACUUACAGAAGAAGCACCGGCUAACUCCGUGCCAGCAGCCGCGGUAAUACGGAGGGUGCGAGCGUUAAUCGGAAUUACUGGGCGUAAAGCGCACGCAGGCGGUUUGUUAAGCUAGAUGUGAAAGCCCCGGGCUCAACCUGGGAUGGUCAUUUAGAACUGGCAGACUAGAGUCUUGGAGAGGGGAGUGGAAUUCCAGGUGUAGCGGUGAAAUGCGUAGAUAUCUGGAGGAACAUCAGUGGCGAAGGCGACUCCCUGGCCCAAGACUGACGCUCAUGUGCGAAAGUGUGGGUAGCGAACAGGAUUAGAUACCCUGGUAGUCCACACCGUAAACGCUGUCUACUAGCUGUGUGUGCCUUUAAGCGUGCGUAGCGAAGCUACGCGCUAGUAGACGCCUGGGGAGUACGCCGCAGUAAACUCAAUGAUUGACGGGGCCGCACAGCGUGAGCAUGUGUUUAUCGAUGCACGCGAGACUACUACACUGACAUGCUGAGAGGUACUAGAGAUAGUUCUGCUCGGACUCAGAACCAGUGCUGCAUGCUGUCGUCAGCUCGUGUCUGGAAUGUAGUUAGUUCCGGCACGAGCCAACCUUGUCUUAGUGCAGCAUAGUGACCUAGACUGCAGGUACAAUCGAGCAGAUGGACACACCUUCAAGUCAAAG
rnacentral:rRNA from 1 species